rnacentral:pre_miRNA from 1 species
AAAGGGAUAGCUGGGUCAAAUGGUGGUUCCAUUCCCAGAUUUCCAAGGAAUCUCCAUACUGUUUUCCAUAUUGGCUGUACCAAUUUGCAGUCCUACCAGCAAU